AUUGAACGCUGGCGGCAUGCUUUACACAUGCAAGUCGAACGGUAACAGGGACUUCGGUCUGCUGACGAGUGGCGAACGGGUGAGUAAUGCAUCGGAACGUACCGAGUAAUGGGGGAUAACGCAUCGAAAGGUGUGCUAAUACCGCAUGACACCUGAGGGUCAAAGGCGCAAGUCGCCUGUGGAGGAGCCUGCGUCCGAUUAGCUUGUUGGUGGGGUAAUGGCCUACCAAGGCGAUGAUCGGUAGCUGGUCUGAGAGGAUGAUCAGCCACACUGGGACUGAGACACGGCCCAGACUCCUACGGGAGGCAGCAGUGGGGAAUAUUGGACAAUGGGCGAAAGCCUGAUCCAGCAAUGCCGCGUGGAUGAAGAAGGUCUUCGGAUUGUAAAGUCCUUUCGGCGGGGACGAUGAUGACGGUACCCGCAGAAGAAGCCCCGGCUAACUUCGUG
rnacentral:rRNA from 1 species